rnacentral:lncRNA from 1 species
CUGUAAGCACGGUGUAUCCUAAAGCACACUCAGAAGCUAUUGAUAGAUCAGGAAUGGGAGGAAUAAACACAUAGAGCGUCCUCCUUGGUAUCCUGUUUGUUGGCACUGGUUAUACCACCCAUUCCCAUGAUGAAGAGAUAAAGUUGUGCCAAAACUGUCUACCUCUCUUCCUUGUGGGGGAAGCAUCCAUUCAUCCCAGUCUGUUUUAGAAGCAGGCAGAAACUGUGCGUGUGUUCCCCGAGCAAUUCCGGACAAGGCCAUCUGCAGCUUGCACAGCUCAGCCCCAGGAGGAUGAGCACAUAAGGGCUGAAAAAUCUUGGGAAGAGUGAUAGCGAUGGUGUU